GUGGGAGCAUGGGAAGGGAGCAGGCAAGCCGGAUCCGCGCUCCUCUCCUUCUCUCCCGCAUCCCGCAUCUCGUCCCCCUUCCUCUCCCAUCGCCGCGUUCGCCGCCACCGCUGCUCUCCCCGUCGUCAUCGCGCCGCCAUCCCCGCCUCCUCCCUGGGCGCCGCAUCUCCUCCCUCUUCCUCUCCCACCGCCACGUUCGCCGCCACCGCUGCUCUUCCCGUCGCCCUCGCCCUCGCGGUGCCAUCCCUGCAUCCUCCCUGGACGCGGCGAGGAUGGCGACUGGGCGCUGCGGGCGCACUGAGCACGCCCCGGAGCACCGCGGCCUCUGGUUCGGCUUCUCGACUGGCGGCCGCCUCUGCGCAUGGGACGACUCCCUCCCUCGCAUCUCUCUCGCGCCGUCGUCGCCAUCCUGCGGUCUUCGUCCUUCCGCCCUCCCUUUCUCCAGUCUGAGCCACUGCCAGCAUGGGAGUAGGUCUGCGGUGCCAUUGCUCCGCUCGAUCUACUUAUUACUCGCGUGCGGCGGCAGAAGGAGGUCCUGCAGUCCGCUUCCACACAACUCCUCGCGCCUCAGCGUCGUUUCCAACGUCGAUGUGUGGGCCGAGUUCUCCAGCGGUGCUGUCGGCUAGGUGAGGCCCCCAUCACCGCUGAGGACCAGCCCACCGCGCUCGCUGCCGUCGGCCGCGCCGCGCUCGCCAGCGCACAGAGCACGCCUUUACAUGUUGUGAUUCAGGGCGUCGCUGAUGCCCUCCCUGUACAUGCCUUCGCCUCGGCCAAUAAACUUUGGUAUAACGAACUGGCCACGCAAGUUCCUGAGUCGACAAGGCCACUCCUAAGGCAAAUUGCAGCCUGCACGUAUUGGUGCUUUAACAGAUUUUUCCUUGUGGUGUGGAAUCAGCUGCUCGAAGGGAAGAAGCUUGGGCUGGUGCGGAGAGAACCUUGAACUCUCGCCUUCAUGUCUGCAGUCUGCUCUGUACUGCCAUGAGUACCUAUUUUCAUGUAGUUUAUGCUCUUCUUCCCCUUUGCUUAUCAUACAUAAACCACUUACUCACUUAUUUUCACCCCCCUAAUUAUUUCGAGAUAUUCAUACCAUGUUAUCUGAAAACAGUAGCAAGUCACUUUAAUUAACCUCUUCAUAUAUCUCAGAUUAUUGAAGCUGUCCUUUUUGUUCUGCUAUGUCCUUUCAAGUCCCAAGUCACUAACUUUCUUACGAUAUUCUUUAUUUUAUCCUAUUAGAUUCCAAAUCUGACUUUGGGCAACUGCUUGAGGGAGUUUCCACUUCUCUUUUUGUGUGUGAUUCUUGCUAUAAUGGAACUGGUAAUGUUGUGUGAAUACUAUUGAAGCACCUAUUAAGUCCAAAUCAUCCGAAGAAUGAGACAAUAGUGAUGAAAAUCAGAUAAAAGUAUUUCUUAAUCCUGCAUUUAGUUUUUCCUUCCUCUUUCACUAAAAUGUGUACUAACAUUUUCUGAAGAACAGAACUAGGGCAGUGCACAACUGCACAUAUAAGAUUUAUUUGUUCUUCUUUCAUGUUGGAGGGAGUGGCAGUACCUUGCCAGUUAAACUAUAUUCUUUCUUAUUAGAGAGCUUUGUAUAUUCUCUAGCGGAUUAAUGUUUUCUUUCUUGGUUGUGAUUUAUUUGGCAUUUGAGGUGAUCACAAAUAGGAGCUGCGACAGAAAAAUGUCGUUUUAGUUCCUCUCAUGUGACUGGCCAGUUUUGGGCGUUCAUUUCAUGCCCAGAGUCUUGCAAGUUGUACCCGAGAUUUGCUAUGGUUUCUUAUGUCUUUGUUUCAUGUUUAUUUUGGGUUUUGCUUUGUGGCCUCAAAUCCAGUGUAUCCUUGAUUCUAUAUUUAUUGAAUAAAUGUCUGCAGUCUGCAUUCAGUUCUGUAACAUAGAAGUUUGGCCUGCUCCUCUUCAUCUCCACUGGUCCACUGUUUUUCUGGUUUUAUCAUAAAAAGGAAGAUACUGCUUUUUUAUAGCUCAUUGGUAUUCAUAGCCUUACAGGAGGCUGAUUCUUAAAAUGGCUAAUUAACAAGCAACAAUGUAGAUGCGUAUCUUCCACUAUCUGAUCUUUCCCCGUCCCACAGACCAUAUAAAUGCAUGUGUCAGAAGGCUGAUUAGAAACUGCUCUUUAGUACCGGCUGCCCUCUAUCUGAAAGAUCAAACAUUUACUUCCUCCUAUUCUAAUGCCGAUGCUUUGCUUUUGUGAUUGCAGACCGCUUGCGAUGUUGAGUAGGUCACCACGUUCAAAGACGAGCACUUAGAGAAGUGUGUGCUCGCCUAGGACCCAAUGGGUUUCUUGAGAGUUGGCUGCACAUCGUUGGUUUCUGAUGCACCCAACAGGCAUACAUGAGGUCUGCCCUGGGUUUUACCUUGGUCUUGCAGUUAGCAAAUCAACUUUUUGGAAUGUUCAAGGUCAUGGUUCUAUACUAAAUAGUACCAGCUUGCUGCCUUUGUCGACUUCAGUUACAUUUAGUUAAGUCUUUCAUCCAUCCAUAUUUUUUGAGAUUUGAAACCAGGGUGCACAUCACAAUAUGUCAGCCAUGAUGUCAGGAGCCCCUUAAUUGCACUUUCUUUUGGGUUCGAGCAUGUUUGAUUGCUAAUAGCGAACUUUUUUGAAAGAAAUGAAGAAUAUAAAAAUAACUUUCUUUUUUCUAACAUGGCUUGAUUUAUAUUUGCUUGUACAUAUUCUAUGAGGAGAUAGUCUCCGAUGUCUACUAGGUCCAAACAAGAUUUUUUUUCCGAGUCAGAACCAACAGCUCCAAUUUAAAAGAAGUAUAGACACGAACAAAUAUUUGCAAGCUAGAUUAUUUAGACUACGGUAGGAUUUGUCGGGAUAAUUAGAGAUGGUCAUGGAUAACUUGGUCAAACCAAAUAGAUAAGAACACACCUGAAUCCAGGCUUGUGCUCUGUUUUGUAUGUCUCGUGUACGAGCAGAGUCUUUGUGUAUGUUGUAAGCUAGAACUAUUUGUACCUGCCAAAACCUAUCUGUGUGCCUCUAGCCCUGUAUACAUAUUUGGUCAAUACCUGAAUGUUCAAAAGCUAUACUUAGGCGGGUUUCCAUAUUACUCUUUGUAUUCUUAUUACUUUGUUCCCCUUUGUGUGUGUGCAUCAUGGUGACCCGAUUGUCCAUUUCUUCUUUGAUAGCCUUUAAGACUUCAAUUACGAUAUUAAUACUUGCAGUUCAUGAGUUCUACAUUAAUCGUCUGAUGGAUUGUAAAUGCAAGAAACUACUUUGUGUGUUUUAAACUUUGAAUCUCUUUUCUCCCACUGGUUUUCCUAUGAAACUGGAGGGCUUCAUGAGUGUUUUGGACAUGUUCUAUCAAGACAUUUUCCAUGUACAUAUUGAGUUCAGAUGUUAUUUUCUGUGACCUUUAAUAGAAGUAUCCACUCAUGUUGUUUUUUCAGAUUGUUAUUUCCUCCAGGAAAAUCAUUUUUUCUUCACUUCUUGGGCCACCAUUACCUAAAUUUUCUUGGAGCGGUGAGGAACUUUAGCCAUUCUUGACAAAGGACAUCCGAAGACUCCGACAGAUAACAUAUUUGUUGGCAUUGACUUUUGUCAUUCUCGAAACCUUUUUAGGCUGCUACCUGAUUAUCACUAGCCUUUUUUUUGUAUAAACAUCUUGCAUUCAGUAUUUUGUACUAUUUGGCUGCCCCUUAAUGCGCUACUCAGGCUUUGGUCAUUUUUUUAUAUAAAAAUGAUUUGAUGUAAUUAUUGUGAAUGGUCUUUUGACCUGCAGAAUGUAUUCCUUUCUACAGUA